GCCCGAGUGGCGGAAUGGCAGACGCACUUGACUCAAAAUCAAGCGCCUUCGGGCGUGCCGGUUCGACCCCGGCCUCGGGCAC
rnacentral:tRNA from 1 species